GGGGAUGUAGCUCCAACGGUAGAGCGGUGGUUUGAAGAGCCACGCGGUGCAGGUUCGACUCCUGCUGUCCCCG
rnacentral:tRNA from 1 species